AUUGAACGCUGGCGGCAUGCCUUACACAUGCAAGUCGAACGGCAGCACGGGGCAACCUGGUGGCGAGUGGCGAACGGGUGAGUAAUGCAUCGGAACGUACCUUUCAGUGGGGGAUAACGUAGCGAAAGUUACGCUAAUACCGCAUAUUCUGUGAGCAGGAAAGCAGGGGAUCGCAAGACCUUGCGCUGGUUGAGCGGCCGAUGUCAGAUUAGCUAGUUGGUGAGGUAAAGGCUCACCAAGGCGACGAUCUGUAGCGGGUCUGAGAGGAUGAUCCGCCACACUGGAACUGAGACACGGUCCAGACUCCUACGGGAGGCAGCAGUGGGGAAUUUUGGACAAUGGGGGCAACCCUGAUCCAGCCAUGCCGCGUGAGUGAAGAAGGCCUUCGGGUCGUAAAGCUCUUUCGGCCGGGAAGAAAUCGCACGGGCUAAUACCCUGUGUGGAUGACGGUACCGGAAUAGGAAGCACCGGCUAACUACGUGCCAGCCGCCGCGGUAAAAC
rnacentral:rRNA from 1 species